GGUGAAGAACGUAGCGAAAUGCGAUAAGUAGUGUGAAUUGCAGAAUUCAGUGAAUCAUCGAAUCUUUGAACGCACAUUGCGCCCCUUGGUAUUCCAUGGGGCAUGCCUGUUCGAGCGUCAUUUGUACCUUCAAGCUCUGCUUGGUGUUGGGUGUUUGUCUCGCCUCUGCGUGUAGACUCGCCUCAAAACAAUUGGCAGCCGGCGUAUUGAUUUCGGAGCGCAGUACAUCUCGCGCUUUGCACUCAUAACGACGACGUCCAAAAGUACAUUUUUACACUCUUGACCUCGGAUCAGGUAGGGAUACCCGCUGAACUUAAGCAUAUCAAUAAGCGGAGGA
rnacentral:misc_RNA from 1 species